UACCGUUUGAAGGAAUAAGAUCCAAAAGAUUUGAAAUUUCGUCUUCUAUUACUCUGUGAUAUCAAGAUGAACCUCGAGGUACCUUCUGUGCUCCCACGCACGCUUCUAAUAUUUUGUCGCGUGUGUGGUGCAUGGCUUGGCUGCUCGUGCUCUGGGAUGUGGAACAUUGUGUUGCUAAACGAUCUUUUGAUUAUUUUGGCAAAAAUAAAAUAAAAUAGUCCAUUGUUGGAACGACUAU
rnacentral:misc_RNA from 1 species